GGUAUCGAAACAAAAGUAACGAGUACAUACUCGUAUUUACUUGUAUCGGAACAUCCCUACCAAUAAAAGACUAUCCGAAGUUUUAAAUAUUUCUUAGAAAAUGCUAGUGCCUUUUUCUGAAAAAGUGAAAUGGAGUUAUAAUUUACAUGCAUACCUGACACCACCCCCGCAAAGAUAUUCUGAGCGUUCAGAAUAUAUGAGUCCGAAGGGAGUCCUAGGUAGGACUCAUAUAUGAUCCAAGUUAUGAGCCAGCACCUUGUGCCAUUAUAAAAACAAUAAAGAUUUGAAAUUUAUAUCCAAACUUGUUUAUACAGAAAUUGAAAAUAAUUAGAAAACAAUAAAUGAACAAAAUUUAGCUGUAGCUGCUGCUAUUGCCUGCAUGUUGGAAUGUGUAUAUGCACGUAA